rnacentral:rRNA from 1 species
AUCUACGGCCAUACCACCCUGAACGCGUGUGGUCUCGGAAACUAAGCAGGGUCGGGCCUGGUUAGUUCUUGGAUGGGAGAACCACUGCUCAAGAUCAGUAGUUCUGAACUAGGGUGUUGUAGGAC